rnacentral:lncRNA from 1 species
AUGGCGAACCUUCAACCUCAUCCUCUCUGGUUCAUCCCGCCGGGGCAGCACUUGCAUCCGGCUGGUCCAAAUCACCGUCGAAGGGUUGACACGGUAAACUUCAUUCCUACUCCAAUGCGGCAUGAGGAUUUUGUGCUAGCUAUUGUUCAUCCUGCUUUACCUGAAGACCUUUGGGAUGAACAUAGGGCUGAGAUUAGUGGCCAUGUUCGAGUUGCUGCUUCUUUUCCACACCCAAAUGUUUUUGCCCUGUUUCAGAUUGAUUCUCCGGAUCAAAGAGAUGCACUUGUUCUUGGGCUGCCUAUUAACUAUGAUGGAAACCAUGAGGGUCCAAACUGGCGUAAUGUUCCUUAUGAUCAUAGAGGAUGGAUAAUGAUGCUUGAUUUUCCUUUGGACUAUGUCAAUUUUCAUAACAUCAAUCAAGUGGUGUCUACUUUUGGGGAGCUUGACUGGGUUUGGUACAAGGAUCUAUACUCAGUGCCCCAAUUUGUUGUUUGGGAGCAGCCUAAUGCUCCAAAUGUCUUGGACCAUUAUGUUUAUAUUUUAAAUGGUGAAUUUGCUGAUAUUUUACCACCUGAUGAUGAUUUGCCACAUGGUGAGGGGCCUGUCGAUCCAAAUGUUGAGGAUGCACCAGCCUGGCAGUUUGGAAAUGAACAGCAGCAGCAUAAUCAGCAGAAUCCAAAUUGGGGAGCUUGGGAGGAUAAUCAAGGAGGUAAUCAGGUCGAUGAACAUCUUAUGCCUCUUGUCCCACAGUUGUUGAUUGAUUUGCAAGCAAGCUCUGCAAGCUCUCUAUCUACCUACCCUUCUGCUAGCUCUGCAAGUAUUGCGGAUUCGGCAGUCAGCAUAUCUACUGAUGAACAUGCUUUAACCUCUCCAGACAAGAGUAUUGUGGUUCAUAAGGAUUCUGUUCAUGCUGACUUAUAUAAUUAUCUUUGUGAGAGGUUUCCCCAUAUCAUGUUUGAUAAACACUUUACUCAAGAUUCUUCCUUUUGGGCUGCUCUCAGUAUUGGACCAUAUAUGCCUGGUGAAUCAUCUUCUUCUGGGCAGCAUCUGGGCUAUAGUCAGGGAAUGGAAUCGGAAUUGCCA